GCGGGUAUAACUCAGUGGUAGAGUGACACCUUGCCAAGGUGUAAGACGCGCGUUCAAAUCGCGUUGCCCGCU